rnacentral:lncRNA from 1 species
CCUUCCUUCCUUCCUUCCUUCCUUCCUUCUUUCUUUCUUUCUUUCUUUCUAAAAUUUAUUUUCAUACCCACAGCACAUGGAAGUUCCUGGGCCAGGGAUUGAAUCCGAGCUGCGGCUGCAACCUACGACACAGCUGUGGCAACAACAGAUCCUUAAUCCACCAUGCCAGGCUGGGGAUCAAACCCUCACCUCUGCGGCGACCUGAGCUGCUGCAGUCAGAUUCUUAACCCACUGUACCACAGCAGGAACUCCUGGAUCCCAGUUUUCUUAUGCAAAAUGAGGAAAUAAGACUUCUUCAAGCUUUCAAAACUGAAGUUUAUCUAAAUAUUGGAAUGCUUUCCAACUCUACCAUGUUGUAUGAAUUGCUGUUUGAAUUGCUUCACUUCAUAGGACCACCUGUUUAAAAACUGGAACCUAGUUACACCCUGAAUGAAUUAAAGUAGAGCUACUAGGGUAGAGGUAGAAAAGCCCAGCUAUUUCCUGUUCCAUGGGACAGAGAACAGAAUAAAUGAGUUCUCACCAAUGGGGAUAAGUCAGUAUGCAGGACUCCAGGUAGGUGAGAUGGUACCUAAAUUGAGGAAGCAGUGAAAUUCCCAAGCGGGAUCCUAUUUGCAUUUUGUAAGCUGGUAUAAGGGCAAUGGUCAUGCCAGGAUGUAGGGGUUGAGUGUGCAAAUGUAAAGCAUAUGAUCUCCCAUGGCAAGGCGCCCAUGGCCAGGACCACCUUGCCGGGAGCCUAGACUCUUCAACCCACCUGGUUGAUGGGCAGGCAAAUCAGAGGAAGCACAUUAUGAGCCUCUGUAAAGAAAGUCAAUUCAUAUAUUGACAAGCCUAAUAAAGGAAAUAUUGCAAGUCCAGAGUCUAGAAACUCAUACAUUUUUAAAAGAAAGCUAACAGUAUUGAAACAAACACUUGCCACCAGGCACCCCCAAAGUUUCUCUUUAAAAGCCUGUAUCUGGCAUGAUCAUUGCAUUUGUUUUCUUUUCAGUGCUUGUUCAGAAUGAGUUUCCUAAGGGUAAGUGGCAACCUGCUCUCUACUGCUCCUGUUUCCCUUUUAUCUUUUACUGAAAGAGUACUUAACUUUCUAAUUCCUUUUAUAUAGCUGAUUUUAAUUAAUGGUGAUAACUACAGUUGUCCUCUCCAGCACAAAGACCUGGUUGGAGUAAAGCCACAGCUAGUAACUAACAGGAACACAUUGUUAUGGCUCACUGUUAACACUGUAGGGAACAAACUGAUCUGUGAGCUUACAAUAAAGUCCUACGUAUUCCUUUCCCCCAAUUUCAGCAGCAUUUCAAAGGCAGUCUCUUCCAUUGGCAGCUGGUACCAUGUGGGUUAUUUAACAUUUCCUUGCUAGCUUUUAAUGACUUGAGGCAAUUCCUUUAUUGCAGCUCAGUGGUUAGAAUGGAACCCAGUGCUUGAUAGAAUAUUAUUCAUCACAUGUAUAUUUAACUUCAAUUACAUUCCAAACUACUUUUUGAGAUUAGGCCCAUGACAACAACAUUGUAUCUGUUAAACUGCUAUUACAGUGAGGUGACAUAUGUCCAGCUAAGAGCAAACUCUCCAGCCAUCUACAGCAUCUUGUACCAUCCAUAUGGCCUGGAAUUGGAGCUGUGAAUGUUGAGAUGUGGAUGCCUCCAUCACUAAAACCUGCUGGCAGUUAGGCAUUCAGUUCCCGUCUCAUCCCCCAUGGUGGCUAUUUCCUAAGUACUAACUCUCACUUCUCUCCUGGGAGGUUAUGCAAGCUGUUCCGGUGGGCGUCUCAGGAGGGCGAGGGGAGAUACUCCUCUGUAUGUUGGGUGGUCCAGCUGUGAUCCGUGUCUAUGUUUGACCAACAUCUGUUGUGGGAUCUCUUGCAUCUUCUGUGGACUGUGACUCCUUCCCUUUCUUCAGUUUUUAACAGAAUGUCACUUGGUGUAAGCACAGCAUAGGCACUCAAUUUGUGUUUGAUGAAUAGGUUGAAUGCCUGCUUGUUUUGCAUAGUUUCUCUUCUUCCAAGGAAUCUACAGAGUCCUCUCCUAGGAGGAAUUGACUUCAGUAUGAUGCCCUGACCUUUUUGCUGGCCUUCGCCUAUCACCCUGUGCUUCGCUUCUCUGCCAAGAAUUACUGUUGAGGCUUGAUAAAAAUGAAUUUAUUCAUGAUUGGCCAGACUAUCCUGGUUGCUAAUAGCAUAACCAUUAUCUUUACAAAGAUACUCUCAGGCAUGUGCUAUGGGAAUCUUUUAAAAUUUUUUUCCAGGAAGCCAACACUGUUCUUUUCAUUUUUUUGCUUUUUAGGGCUGAACCCAAGGCAUACGGAAGUUCCCAGGCUAGGGGUCAAAUCGGACCUACAGCUGCCAGCCUACACCAGAGCCACAGUAACUAGGGAUCUGAGCCACAUCUGCGACCUACGCCACAGCUCAUAGCAAUGCCGGAUCCUUAACUCACUGAGCGAGGCCAGGGAUCCAACUCUCAUCUUCAUGGAUACUAGUUGGGUUUGUUACUGCUGAGCCACUGUGGGAACUCC